GAUGCUGUCCUGACUACCAAAGGAUAUGCCCUCUGCAGUUUUACAUGCAGCUAACUGACUUUGCCCAUGCAGAAUCCUGCCAGGAUCAUCACAAGAAGUUUGAAAAGAGCAUUGCUCCAGUUCUUCAGUAACUUCUGUGUCCGGAUGAGUUGGCCUCCUUGUUGUCACCUGCUGAGACACAUCGAUCUUAGAAUUCUGGCCUUGUGACAACUUGGGUAAAUUAUUCCUCCAGUUAGCUUUCUGGAGGACCUGAUAGCUAUGACCAAAGCCCCAGGCUUCCCUGGGGGGUGGGGAUGGCACCCAGGCUUCCCUGCAGGCUGGAAUCUCUAAGGCAGUUUCUGUCAGGGCAUCCCUGCUUUUGGUUACAUAAAAUGUUUCCAAGGAAGGCGGCUGCAGAGAAGAUGGGAAAGGACUGCAGGGAGCAGAGUGCAGGAAGAGCUCUGGACCUGACGGGAAAGUAUGAGAAGCAUCUGUAUGUGCUCCAUCUGCUUCCUUGGCAUGCUGCUGAGAAUCUGCCUUCUCCUCCAGCAGUGGCUGCUGACGACUGUUGUGACUUAGUCUUGGCUGAACAACAGUGCUUUUCUCAAGAACAGUCCCAUCUUGGGGCCAAUGAUCUGCUUUGGUAGUUUCUAGGCCCUGGGAAGGCGUCUGACAGGACUGCUUACUCAAUGACUCGAUUUCCUGGCUACUGACAGACUCAUGGCUCACAGUGAGACAGGUGCCUUGGGUAGAGACUCUCUUCCUGGUUGAGGCUCCCCUGGCAGGAUAGCGCCUCCGGUCUGGUGGAUGGAGGCUGUUCCUGCCCAGGCAACCUGUUCUUGGAGGGAGAGCGCUCAUUCCUUCUGGGGAAGCAGCAGCUGCAGCAAUUCUGCAUGGGGCUGCAAGGGAGACUGCAGGAUGACACAGUGUAAUUACCCAAGCUCCCACACAGCCUCGGCCGGAAGGAUGCCUCUGCUAAGCACAUUUUUCAAGUUCCCUGGGUAACUCCAGCAUCCCCUAGAUACUGACUGGUCACCACCUAUUGCCAGGACUCUGUUGUACCCUCUGCUCUCUCUGGCAGUUAUCCUCUGCUAUCUCAGGGCCUCACAGUCUGCAGCAGAAUUUAGCAGUGUCUACUAUUACUGUAGCAGCAGUGAGAACUUCUUCUGGGAUCUAGACAUUUAAAGGUAAGCGCCACACCCCCCAACUCCAAAUGAGAAAUGCAAAGAGCACAUCUUGGAGGACAAAAUUCCUUCCUGGUCCAGAUCACUACUACAAGGAGAAAAUGGCCAACUCCAUCCAGUUUAGAAAAAGCUCUGACCCUCUGAAAUGCUCCUCCAGGAAUGAAAGAGGGACAGCAGCCUAGGAUGAGGACAGCCCUGGAGCCAAGCCCAGGUAAGAGUAGAAGGAAAGAAAGACUGCCGAAAAAUCCAGACUGGGUCAUGCAUUUUCCUCUGUCAGUUCUACCCUCUGGCCCCUUUGCUCAAUCACUAGCUUGGGAGCCAUACCACCUAAUAAGGGCUGGCACCAGAUACUGGCUACAGUAGAUGGAUAGGCCCAGCACAACCUAUAGGCCCUCAAGCUGGUGCUGAAAGGUAGGGGCAGUCCAUGUGAGAGGCUUUGAUUCUGAAGCCCUUCACUGUCCUCGGAUAAAGAACAUCUACCUUCUUGUGUUGAUGAGAGAACAUGUCAGUGCUCAUGGAGCUGAGGAUCCUAAAGAGUUAAAAGGUAGGAGGAGACUACAGAGGGAGGACAGUGAGCUGUCUAAGACAAGAGGACAAGGAAGAAAGGGAAGCAGCUUUCCUGGAGCCUCACAGUCACUGGGGCCAUGGAAUGUGGAUAUGCCCCUCAACUCCUUUGGUCCUUAUCACAGGAUCCCUGGAAGGGGAUAGGCACACUCUUAAUUUAGAGGUAAGGAAACAGGGUAAGAGAGUAAGUGGCUGGCCUGAGAUCACACGGCCUUUAUGUGGCAUGGCCAGGUGUCAGUCUGUUUGCCAAAUUCCAAUGCACCUUUCCUGUAUCAGCUCUUUACGUUGCAGUGUUGUUCCUGAUAAACUCUGCACUUUGAGAAAAACCAGGUCUUCACUGUCUUCCUAACAGAAACCUUACCCAAAACAAAGUCUCCUUCAUAGCUUCCCCACAAAACAGGAAAUCCUCUCUGAGAAAACAAGUACUUUGGCCUUAGAUCCUAAUUCUUUUUGGCCUGGAUAUCUUUGUCAGCUUUUUCAACUUGCCCUUCACUCCACAGGACCCCAAGACCUAGGAUCACACUCCCUUAAACCUCUGCUGUAGCAAAGUUCAACCUGUGAGCACUCUGAGGGUGCACUGCUCACCCUGCCCCAGUCCAAACCCUUCCCGGUUCCAUUCUUUUAGGAACUAAGAAGCAAAGCCAGGAGACUCCACUGAUACAAGCAGCAGAUUCUCACCUCUCCUUCCAAAGGACAGGACAGAGACCCA